rnacentral:tRNA from 1 species
GGGCCGUUAGCUCAGCUGGUAGAGCAGUUGACUCUUAAUCAAUUGGUCCGCGGUUCGAAUCCGCGACGGCCCACCA